rnacentral:misc_RNA from 1 species
GAUGAAGAACGCAGCGAAAUGCGAUACGUAAUGUGAAUUGCAGAAUUCAGUGAAUCAUCGAAUCUUUGAACGCACAUUGCGCCCCCUGGUAUUCCGGGGGGCAUGCCUGUCCGAGCGUCAUUACAACCCUCAAGCUCAGCUUGGUGUUGGGCCCCGCCGCCCCGGCGGGCCCUAAAGUCAGUGGCGGUGCCGUCCGGCUCCGAGCGUAGUAAUUCUUCUCGCUCUGGAGGUCCGGUCGUGUGCUCGCCAGCAACACCCAAUUUUUUUCAGGUUGACCUCGGAUCAGGUAGGGAUACCCGCUGAACUUAAGCAUAUCAAUAAGCGGAGGA